rnacentral:rRNA from 1 species
AUUGAACGCUAGCGGGAUGCUUUACACAUGCAAGUCGAACGGCAGCGCGGACUUCGGUCUGGCGGCGAGUGGCGAACGGGUGAGUAAUGUAUCGGAACGUGCCCAGUAGCGGGGGAUAACUACGCGAAAGCGUAGCUAAUACCGCAUACGCCCUACGGGGGAAAGCAGGGGAUCGUAAGACCUUGCACUAUUGGAGCGGCCGAUAUCGGAUUAGCUAGUUGGUGAGGUAACGGCUCACCAAGGCGACUAUCCGUAGCUGGUUUGAGAGGACGACCAGCCACACUGGGACUGAGACACGGCCCAGACUCCUACGGGAGGCAGCAGUGGGGAAUUUUGGACAAUGGGGGCAACCCUGAUCCAGCCAUCCCGCGUGUGCGAUGAAGGCCUUCGGGUUGUAAAGCACUUUUGGCAGGAAAGAAACGUCGCGGGCUAAUACCCCGUGGAACUGACGGUACCUGCAGAAUAAGCACCGGCUAACUACGUG